CCCUUAGAUGUUCUGGGCCGCGCGCGCGCUACACUGAUGCAUUCAACGAGUCUAAAACCUGCUCUGAUAGGGGUGGGUAAUCUUUUGAAUGUGCAUCGUGAUUGGGAUAGAUGAUUGCAAUUUUUCAUCUUCAACGAGGAAUGCCUAGUAAACGCAAGUCAUCAGCUUGCAUUGAUUACGUCCCUGCCCUUUGUACACACCGCCCGUCGCUCCUACCGAUUGAAUGAUCCGAUGAAUAUCAUGGAUUGAGGAUGCAAGUAGGUUAGCCUAUCUACAUCUUCGAGAAGUGAAGUAAAUCUUAUCAUUUAGAGGAAGGAGAAGUCGUAACA
rnacentral:rRNA from 1 species